GCCCUCCCCACGACUGCUUAACGCGAAGAACCUUACCUGGCCUUGACAUGCCACUAACGAGGUCAGAGAUGCAUUAGGUGCCCGUAAGGGAAAUGGGACACAGGUGCUGCAUGGCUGUCGUCAGCUCGUGUCGUGAGAUGUUGGGUUAAGUCCCGCAACGAGCGCAACCCUUGCCAUUAAUUGCCAUCAUUUAGUUGGGCACUUUAAUGGGACUGCCGGUGACAAACCGGAGGAAGGUGGGGAUGACGUCAAGUCCUCAUGGCCCUUAUGGCCAGGGCUUCACACGUAAUACAAUGGUCGGUACAGAGAGUUGCCAAGCCGCGAGGUGGAGCUAAUCUCAGAAAGCCGAUCGUAGUCCGGAUUGUUCUCUGCAACUCGAGAGCAUGAAGUCGGAAUCGCUAGUAAUCGCGGAUCAGCAUGUCGCGGUGAAUACGUUCCCGGGUCUUGUACACACCCCGGGUCUUGU
rnacentral:rRNA from 1 species